rnacentral:rRNA from 1 species
UACGUAGGGUGCAAGCGUUAAUCGGAAUUACUGGGCGUAAAGCGUGCGCAGGCGGUUGCGUAAGUCAGAUGUGAAAUCCCCGGGCUCAACCUGGGAAUUGCAUUUGAGACUGCACGGCUAGAGUGUGUCAGAGGGGGGUAGAAUUCCACGUGUAGCAGUGAAAUGCGUAGAUAUGUGGAGGAAUACCGAUGGCGAAGGCAGCCCCCUGGGAUAACACUGACGCUCAUGCACGAAAGCGUGGGGAGCAAACAGG